rnacentral:rRNA from 1 species
GACAGAGGGUGCAAACGUUGUUCGGAAUUACUGGGCGUAAAGCACAUGUAGGCGGCCUAGCAGGUCGGAUGUGAAAUCCCUCGGCUCAACCAAGGAAGUGCAUUCGAAACCGCAAGGCUGGAGUCCCGGAGAGGAUGGUGGAAUUCUCGGUGUAGAGGUGAAAUUCGUAGAUAUCGGGAGGAAUACCAGUGGCGAAGGCGGCUUCCUGGCCUGUUCUUGACGCUGAGGCGCGAAAGCUAGGGUAGCAAACGGG